UGUCCAGUAACUCCUAUCCCUACCUCCCCGUGGUGCCGCCUGGGGUACGAGUAACCGUAGGGAAGAUUGGGUAUCCAACCCUGGUCGUAUGCUGACAGGGAAGG
rnacentral:ribozyme from 1 species